UGGGGAAUAUUGCACAAUGGGGGAAACCCUGAUGCAGCGACGCCGCGUGAAGGAAGAAGUAUCUCGGUAUGUAAACUUCUAUCAGCAGGGAAGAUAGUGACGGUACCUGACUAAGAAGCCCCGGCUAACUACGUGCCAGCAGCCGCGGUAAUACGUAGGGGGCAAGCGUUAUCCGGAUUUACUGGGUGUAAAGGGAGCGUAGACGGUGUGGCAAGUCUGAUGUGAAAGGCAUGGGCUCAACCUGUGGACUGCAUUGGAAACUGUCAUACUUGAGUGCCGGAGGGGUAAGCGGAAUUCCUAGUGUAGCGGUGAAAUGCGUAGAUAUUAGGAGGAACACCAGUGGCGAAGGCGGCUUACUGGACGGGAACUGAAGUUGAGGCUCGAAGCGUGGGGAGCAAACAG
rnacentral:rRNA from 1 species